rnacentral:rRNA from 1 species
AUACCGGAUAAUAUUUUGAACCGCAUGGUUCAAAAGUGAAAGACGGUCUUGCUGUCACUUAUAGAUGGAUCCGCGCUGCAUUAGCUAGUUGGUAAGGUAACGGCUUACCAAGGCAACGAUGCAUAGCCGACCUGAGAGGGUGAUCGGCCACACUGGAACUGAGACACGGUCCAGACUCCUACGGGAGGCAGCAGUAGGGAAUCUUCCGCAAUGGGCGAAAGCCUGACGGAGCAACGCCGCGUGAGUGAUGAAGGUCUUCGGAUCGUAAAACUCUGUUAUUAGGGAAGAACAUAUGUGUAAGUAACUGUGCACAUCUUGACGGUACCUAAUCAGAAAGCCACGGCUAACUACGUGCCAGCAGCCGCGGUAAUACGUAGGUGGCAAGCGUUAUCCGGAAUUAUUGGGCGUAAAGCGCGCG